GGCGCGAUGGCUGAGUGGUUAAAGCGACAGAUUCGAAUGACAACUCAUGCAGACUAUGUUUAUCUGUUCCACUAUGUGGGCGUAGGUUCAAAUCCUGCUCGCGUCG